rnacentral:rRNA from 1 species
CGCCUCUUGUUUCUCCUAUAUAAGAGGUCCUGCCUGCCCAGUGACAUAUUGUUAAACGGCCGCGGUAUCAUGACCGUGCAAAGGUAGCGUAAUCACUUGUCUUCUAAAUAAAGACCGGUAUGAAUGGCAAAACGAGAGUUCAACUGUCUCCUUUGACCAAUCAGUGAAAUUGAUCUUUCCGUGCAGAAGCGGAAAUUUAAAUAUAAGACGAGAAGACCCUAUGGAGCUUAAAAUAUAAACCAUUUAUAAAAUAAUAUACCAAAAGGCUAAUAAUUAACAUAAAUUCUGGUUAAAAUUUUAGGUGGGGGCGACCACGGAAUAAAAUAAAACUUCCGAGAUGAAAUUAUAAUUCAAGGGUAACAACCCUAAAAAAUAAAACAUUUAACAUAAUUGAUCCAAUAUUUUGAUCAACGGACCAAGUUACCCUAGGGAUAACAGCGCAAUCCUCUCCAAGAGUUCUUAUCGACGAAUGGGUUUACGACCUCGAUGUUGGAUCAGGACAUCCUAAUGGUGCAGCUGCUAUUAAGGGUUCGUUUGUUCAACGAUUAAAGUCCC